GCCGGUUUAGCUCAGCUGGUAGAGCAGCUGAUUUGUAAUCAGAAGGUCGCGGGUUCGAUUCCUGCAACCGGCA
rnacentral:tRNA from 1 species